ensembl:lncRNA
AUGGGAUCAUGGAAUCAUGGACUAAUGGGAUCAUGGAAUCAUGGGAUCAUAGAAUAAUGGAAUAAUGGAAUAAUAGAAUCUUAGACUGGCUUGGUUUGGGAGGGACCUUAGAGCUUAUCUGUGGGCAGGAACACUUCCACUAUCCCAGAGACACUUCCACUAUCCCAGAGACACUUCCACUAUCCCAGGACACUUCCACUAUCCCAGGGACAUUUCCACUAUCCAAGGAACACUUCCACUAUCCCUGGCCUUGGACAUUUCCAGGGUUGGGUGAGUCCAGAACCCCUCAGAGCAACCUGGGCCUCACAGAAUUCCCUCCCAAAUCCCAUCCAACCCUGCCUGUUCCACUUGGAAGCCAUUCCCCCUCCUCCUGUGUCUGCCCAAGAGCCUGAAUUGGUUCACACACAAUUAUUGUGCAGGUGAGGAGGUGCUGAGGAGACAAAAAGCAUCGAGGCAGAGUUUUUAUAAGGAAUUGUUGAGUUUCUCCUCAGGGUCUGUGCAUCUGCCAUCGUGCAGGGCCCACCAGUGAGUUCCAAAUGACAUCUGAUGUAAUUCCUGAGUCAAAAAGAUAACAAAAGGCCGGUGUUGAGUCAGAAGACCAGAACUAAAAACUCCCUGAACUCACACACUUAUUGCUAAACCAGCCCAGACAAUUACAAAUGACAAAGCAGAAAAUGUUUGAAUGUUCAUUUCCAGAUUUCUCCUAUCGAGGCAAACCACACAUUCCUCUUUGGCAGAUGCCAAAUGUGAGGAUUUAAAGGAAAUGUUCCUGGAGUUA